UUCAGCAGUAGACAGGAUAGGUAGGAGCACGGCAGGGAGCAAGGAAAGACAAAUUGAUUACAUUUAUUUAAAUGCGAAAGGUUUGACAGGUAAAAUGGAUGAAGUCAGUCUGUGAAUCAGUAAAUGC